GAUGAACGCUGGCGGCGUGCCUAAUACAUGCAAGUCGAGCGAACGGACGAGAAGCUUGCUUUUCUGAUGUUAGCGGCGGACGGGUGAGUAACACGUGGAUAACCUACCUAUAAGACUGGGAUAACUUCGGGAAACCGGAGCUAAUACCGGAUAAUAUUUUGAACCGCAUGGUUCAAAAGUGAAAGACGGUCUUGCUGUCACUUAUAGAUGGAUCCGCGCUGCAUUAGCUAGUUGGUAAGGUAACGGCUUACCAAGGCAACGAUGCAUAGCCGACCUGAGAGGGUGAUCGGCCACACUGGAACUGAGACACGGUCCAGACUCCUACGGGAGGUAGCAGUAGGGAAUCUUCCGCAAUGGGCGAAAGCCUGACGGAGCAACGCCGCGUGAGUGAUGAAGGUCUUCGGAUCGUAAAACUCUGUUAUUAGGGAAGAACAUAUGUGUAAGUAACUGUGCACAUCUUGACGGUACCUAAUCAGAAAGCCACGGCUAACUACGUG
rnacentral:rRNA from 1 species